rnacentral:rRNA from 1 species
GAUGAACGCUGGCGGCGUGCCUAAUACAUGCAAGUCGAGCGAACAGAUAAGGAGCUUGCUCCUUUGACGUUAGCGGCGGACGGGUGAGUAACACGUGGAUAACCUACCUAUAAGACUGGGAUAACUUCGGGAAACCGGAGCUAAUACCGGAUAACAUAUUGAACCGCAUGGUUCAAUAGUGAAAGGCGGCUUUGCUGUCACUUAUAGAUGGAUCCGCGCCGUAUUGCUAGUUGGUAAGGUAACGGCUUACCAAGGCAACGAUACGUAGCCGACCUGAGAGGGUGAUCGGCCACACUGGAACUGAGACACGGUCCAGACUCCUACGGGAGGCAGCAGUAGGGAAUCUUCCGCAAUGGGCGAAAGCCUGACGGAGCAACGCCGCGUGAGUGAUGAAGGUCUUCGGAUCGUAAAACUCUGUUAUCAGGGAAGAACAAAUGUGUAAGUAACUGUGCACAUCUUGACGGUACCUGAUCAGAAAGCCACGGCUAACUACGUG